rnacentral:rRNA from 1 species
UUCUGCGGCCAUGCCACUCUGAACGUGCCCGACUUCGUCUGAUCUCGGAAGCUAAGCAGGGUCAGGCCUGGUUAGUACUUGGAUAGGUGGCCACCUAGGUAUACCAGGUGCUGUAGGCA